AGACGUCUACAUUAGAUACCCCUGUAGUCCCAGCCGUAAACUAUGCGCGUUAGGUGUAUCGGUGACCACGAGUUACCGAGGUGCCGAAGGGAAACCGUGAAACGUGCCGCCUGGGAAGUACGGUCGCAAGGCUGAAACUUAAAGGAAUUGCGGGGGAGCACCACAACAGGUGGAGCCUGCGGUUUAAUUGGACUCAACGCCGGGAAGCUCACCGGAUAGGACAGCAGAAUGAUUGCCGGGCUGAAGACCCUGCAUGACUAGCUG
rnacentral:rRNA from 1 species